AGUGAACGCUGGCGGUAGGCCUAACACAUGCAAGUCGAACGGCAGCACAGGAGAGCUUGCUCUCUGGGUGGCGAGUGGCGGACGGGUGAGGAAUACAUCGGAAUCUACUUUUUCGUGGGGGAUAACGUAGGGAAACUUACGCUAAUACCGCAUACGACCUACGGGUGAAAGCAGGGGAUCUUCGGACCGUGCGCGAUUGAAUGAGCCGAUGUCGGAUUAGUUAGUUGGCGGGGUAAAGGCCCACCAAGGCGAGGAUCCGUGGCUGGUACGAGGAGAAUGAUCAGCCACACUGAAACUGGGACACGGUCCGGACUCUUACGGGAGGCAGAAGGGGGGAAUUUUGACGAAGGGGCGAAAGCCUGAUCCAGCCAUACCGCGUGGUGAAGAAGGCCUUCGGGUUGUAAAGCCCUUUUGUUGGGAAAGAAAUCCAGCUGGCUAAUACCCGGUUGGGAUGACGGUACCCAAAGAAUAAGCACCGGCUAACUUCGUGCCAGCCGCCGCCGUAA
rnacentral:rRNA from 1 species